AUCCAUAUCUAAAUCAUUCAUACAAAAAGCAAGAGUCAUAGUAUCAAACUGCAAGAAGAAGUUCUAUCGAAAAUAAACAGAAAUCAUGGCCAAGAUGAGUAUGUUCUUUUGCUUCUUCUUAUUCGUCUUGAUUGCCGUGCCUGCAGCCUCUUCUGCGAGCAGUAGGAUGCUACUCCAAUCGAAUAGAUGCCCUAUAGUACCUAGGUCGUCACGGUCAUCGCUAUGCGGAAGAGUUGUGUGCGUACGACAAGUUUUUUGCACACUCAAUGUGCUAAUCUGCCCAGACGGCCAGUAUGCUUUCAAGCCAUGCUGCGGCUGCGAAAGAUGUUGUCCUCUUUAAAUUACCUAAUCGGGUACAGAUUGUACUACGUUUUUACUGUACCUUGAUAAUUAUUGUGUGUGAAUGGUUUUUACUGUAAUAAUUGUUGUGUGUGUGGAUGGUGUUGUGUUUACAUUUUCCCUUCUAAUUUGAUGUAGUUUAAUAUGUCAUAUGUUCAUGUACCCGUGUUUUUAGUUUCUCCACCAUAAAUUUGAAGUGGCUUGCCUGAGUUAUUAUGCA